GGAGGUAGUGACAAUAAAUCACAAUGCGGAACAAUGUUUUGCAAUUGGAUUGAGAACAACGUACAAACCUUAUCGAUAAACAAUUGGAGGGCAAGUCUGGUGCCAGCAGCCGCGGUAAUUCCAGCUCCAAUAGCGUAUAUUAACGUUGUUGCAGUUAAAAAGCUCGUAGUUGAAAUGAAGGGUAGUUGUGUAAUGAAUACAUUCGUGUAUUUUGUUAUUCUACUACCCUCCUUCUAAAUUCGAUAUAUGAGUAUUAAUUUACUUGUAUAUGGUUUUAGACYUUUACUGUGAGAAAAUUAGAGUGUUCAAAGCAGGCAUUUGCUUGAAUAUAUUAGCAUGGAAUAAUCAUGUAUGAUUUUCAUGAUGUAUUUGAUUGGUUUGGUUCAUGAGAAUAAGAUUAAAAGGGACAGUUGGGGGUAUUCAUAUUCAAUAGUCAGAGGUGAAAUUCUCGGAUUUAUGGAAGAUGAACAAGU
rnacentral:rRNA from 1 species